rnacentral:lncRNA from 1 species
GGAGAAUAAUAUGGUAGGGGUGGGAAGCUAUAGACGUAUGGUGGGGGGGUAGACUUGUAGUCAACCAUAGGAGAAGGAGAGUAGUAUGGUGGGGGCGGAGAACUGUAAACGUAUGGUGGUGGGGGAGACUUGUAGUUAACCUUAGGCGAAGGAGAGUAGUAUGGUGGGGGUGGGGAGCUGUAGACGUAUGGUGGUGGUGGAGAUUUGUAGUUUACCUUAGGCGAAGGAGAGUAGUAUGGUGGGGGAUGGGAGCUGUAGACGUAUGGUGGUGGUGGAGAUUUGUAGUUUACCUUAGGCGAAGGAGAGUGGUAUGGUGGGGGAGGGGAACUGUAGACGUAUGGUGGUGGUGGAGACUUGUACUCAACCUUUGGUGAAGGAGAGUAGUAAGGUGGGGGAGGGGAGCUGUAGACGUAUGGUGGUGGGGGAGACUUGUACUCAACCUUUGGUGAAGGAGAGUAGUAAGGUGGAGGAGGGGAGCUGUAGACGUAUGGUGGUGGGGGAGACUUGUAAUCAACCUUAGGUGAAGGAGAGUAGUAUGGUGGGGGCGGGGAGCUGUAGACGUAUGGUGGUGGGGGAGACUUGUACGCAACCUUUGGUGAAGGAGAGUAGUAAGGUGGGGGCGGAGAGCUGUAGACGUAUGGUGGUGGGGGAGACUUGUACGCAACCUUUGGCGAAGGAGAGUAGUAUUGUGGGGGCGGGGAGCUGUAGACGUAUGGUGGUGGGGGAGACUUGUAGUCAACCUUAGGCGAAGGAGAGUAGUAUGGUGGGGGUGGAGAGCUGUAAACAUACGGUGGUGGUGGGGACUUGUAGUCAACCUUUGGAGAUGGAGAGUAGUAUGGUGGGGGUGGGGAGCUGUAGACGUAUG